GUGCGGCUCCGGGAGGCCCGCCGGGGUGCGGGUGGACAGCUCUAAGGCUUCUUAGGGGGUCAGGCCUUCCCACUUCCCCCUGUGCGCGGCCAGGGCUGCAGGAGGGGGUGCACGGAAUUGAGAGAUCACCCCCAAACCCCAGGGAUUCUGGAGCCAGGGCCUCACCCGUGUUUCCAACAGGGGGCCCCAGGCAAGAUUGGAGAAAGCCAGGCCGCCCUGCCUGGUUGCCGGCUGGCCUGCAGGAGCCGCCGCUCUUCCUCCACCAGGAGCAGGGUCAUCUUCUCAAACUCCACCAGGAUGCGCGUUCUCCUCUCCUUCACCAUGGCCUGCGGGAGCAGCACCCCCACCCCUGAAUGUGAGGGCUGCCUGUGUUGGAAACAGGAGGAAGGGGCACCGACUCUCACCCCGAGCGGAGCUUUAAGAAAGUAUUACAAGCAAACACGCCCUGCAGACCACAGAAGGACAGCCCCUACACAAGCCGAAGCCUCCCCUGGCCACCUCCCCACAUCCAUGUUCCUGGUUCAGCGACUUUGGUGUUUAAGUGAACUUUGACCCUGCAGUCCAAGCCACUUCUCCAUUCGCCUCUGUGUGCGGGAGGACACGCCCUUUCUCCUCUGGUUACCCUGCCUUUGUGACAGGGAGGCCCACCCAGAACCGGGAAAGGCAGAGAUGCCGGCUGUAGGCCCUUCCUCUGCCCCAGUGUCUGGAGAAUGGACAGGUAGGUGGCUGGCCGCCCUCACCAGAGGGGCACGGUGUUGAAUGGACGGGGCUCUGGGGGGAAGACAGGGGACUACCCAGGAAGAUUCUGUGGGGCCCCAAGAGAGCCAACCAGAAGUGACUCGGAGCAUGGGAGAAGAGGAUGGAUGCUGUCCCCAAGGGAGGAUGUGGCUGAGCCAUCACCAAGAGCCAGCCCUUCAGAAUGGCCUGGGAGUGCAGCAGCAGGAAGCUUCCAGGGUACUUUUGGCCUGUCCAUUGAGUUCUAGAAGCUUCCUGGUGUGCCCCAGCCCAGGUGCAGCCAGCCCCACCUCACCACCCAGCAGGCCCCUGGUGGCCCCGCAACCCCUGAUGGCCUAUGGGAGCUCGUAGCUCAGAAACGUCCUGAAUUUAUUUUUGUGAAGUAGUCUUGGGUUUGCAGCACAAAUGAGAGAAGGGACACAGAUCUCCAUGUCACUGUGUGGGACUCCCACAGGAGUCCCAAAAGAGUUACAGAGCACGCAUAGCCAAAAAGAAAGAGAAAAAGCAAAACCAAAAUGGAGUUACUUAAGCUAGGGCACUAAGCACCAGACACUGCCCAGACCAUCUGUCAGAACAGACACAGGUGGCGAGGUCUGAUAAGGACUGGGGACAUUACACCAUAAGCAGCAGCCAACCAGCUGGCUACUGCACUACUGCACCUUCACUACUGCACCAUGACUGGCCACGCCCAGAGACCCCCAACACACCAUGGGUCACACCCAGACACCAUCAUCUGGUUGGUGACACCCCAAAGGAUGAGCCUGUGAUUGGUGACACCCAGGGCACCUUCACCGCCACCUACCCCAGAGGGGGGAUGAAACAGUGAGCCGCAUGACUGCCCUUCAUCCCUCAGGAACCACGACUCAGUGCAAGUGAAACUCUGCCCGCGUCUCCACUGACUGAGCUCUGCCUGCCACCCUGCUGGAGCCCACCUCCCUGGACGUCCCAGCUGCCGCCAGACCUGACAUCGGAGCCGGACCAGACCUCUCAUCAGGUGACAUCAGAGCCGGACCAGACCUCUCGUCAGGUGACCUCUCCAGCCCUUCACCUUGGGAACUCUGAGCGUACUGCCCAGAGUGCCAGUCAUCCCACGACCCCUGCCCGUAAGUGACUGUUCUGAGAGCCGUCAGAGUCUCUGAGUGGGAACGGAGACUUUAGACUCUGGACUUUGACUUUGGUGACCGUGGUAGGAACCUUGAGAACGCAGCCUUCAUAUUACGCCCUUAGCCAUGAGUGAGUGUUUAGAGUGGUUGUGCUUUCAUGCUUUAUACUUAUAACUAUUGCUGGAUACUCCUGGAAAUUGCCUUACUCCUGGAUGUGUUCUGACCUAUGGACUGGUGACAUAUUGAGAGGUAUUGACCUUUAGAUAUGUGCAUUGAAUAUAUAUAUACUGAGUGGUAUUGAUUACUGAAUAAUAAAUUAUAUU